UGGGGGAUAUUGCACAAUGGGCGAAAGCCUGAUGCAGCGACGCCGCGUGGGGGAUGAAGGCCUUCGGGUUGUAAACUUCUUUUGCUCUGAACAAGGCAUGCUAAUGGGUGUGUUGAGUGUAGGGGUUGAUUAGCGCCGGCUAACUACGUGCCAGCAGCCGCGGUAAUACGUCGGGCGCGAGCGUUGUCCGGAAGUAUUGGGCGUAAAGGGCUUUGAGGUGGCUGGUUGCGUCUGUCGUGAAAGCUCAUGGCUUAACUGUGGGUUUGCGGUGGGUACGGGCUGGCUUGAGUGCAGUAGGGGAGGCUGGAAUUCCUGGUGUAGCGGUGGAAUGCGCAGAUAUCAGGAGGAAUACCGGUGGCGAAGGCGGGUCUCUGGGCUGUUACUGACACUGAGGAGCGAAAGCAUGGGGAGCGAACAGG
rnacentral:rRNA from 1 species